CCUGGCUUAGGAUGAACGCUAGCGACAGGCCUAACACAUGCAAGUCAGGGGCAGCACAAGGAGCAAUCUGAGGUGGCGACCGGCGCACGGGUGAGUAACACGUAUGCAACCUGCCUGUAAGCGGGGAAUAACCCGUUGAAAGACGGACUAAUACCGCAUAAUACUAAAUUACUGCAUGGUAAUUUAUUUAAACAUUUAUGGCUUACAGAUGGGCAUGCGCAUGAUUAGCUAGUUGGAGAGGUAACGGCUCCCCAAGGCAACGAUCAUUAGGGGUUCUGAGAGGAAGGUCCCCCCACACCGGUACUGAGACACGGACCAGACUCCUACGGGAGGCAGCAGUGAGGAAUAUUGGUCAAUGGACGAGAGUCUGAACCAGCCAAGUCGCGUGCAGGAAGAAUGUCCCUAUGGAUUGUAAACUGCUUUUGCAGGGGAAUAAAGUGCAUCACGUGUGAUGUUUUGUAUGUACUCUGCGAAUAAGGAUCGGCUAACUCCGUGCCAGCCGCUGC
rnacentral:rRNA from 1 species